rnacentral:lncRNA from 1 species
AUCCCGGGCCCAGCGGAGCGGCGAUACCUCAGGAUGCCGUCCCCACACCGGAUCCGUGGCUGGGCGGUCCCGCCGUGGAAGGGAACUGGCCGGUCUGCGGCCGGGAGCGGGAGCGGUCCCACCGCGAGGAGCCCGCAGGGGGCUGUCCCCGACCCCCGUGGGUGCAGCACCCGCUCCCCAUCACANNNNNNNNNNNNNNNNNNNNCACUCGGGCAGGGCAGAGGAGGCGGAGGGAGAGGAGGAAGAGGAGGGAGAGGAGGAAGAGGAGGGAGAGGAGGUGUUCAGCGUGCAGCAGGUGCCGAGGCGAAGCUCGCCACAACAAAUCGCUGUGAUUCAGCCCCGGAGCAUCUGGCAGCGAGCGGUGACGAGCCGGGGGAGCCGGUGUCACGCAGCCGCUCCGCCGAGGCGUCCCGGAGCCCCCGGGAACCGGAGCUGCCCCGCACGGAUCCGCUCAUCCGGGGGGGACGGAGCUCCUCAGCUCCCGUUUCCCGAGCCCCCGCUGGCCUCAGUGGCUCUGCUUCUCUCUCGGUGUCACAGCACAGGACACAGCCGUGUCACCUCCGUGCUCUCUGGGAGCUCCCUGCGCUGUCCCAGCCCUCCCGCACGGCUGGAGCAUCCCUCAGGCGGGUGGGAAGGGCUGUGCCAGGUGGGGGGAUACACCUGGGUGGGUUUUCAUGGGGGGACAGCACCCCUGGGCAGCACACCAGGUCUCAGAGGUCUCCUGCUGCCAGCUCCCCCUGCACUGCCCUGCAUCUCAAAAAUCGUGUCUGUCCGACCCUUCUUUCAUCACAGCUCCAGAGAAUUUCCUCCCUGGUUAUUUGAAUUUAAUUUUCUGUUGUCUUACCAUCCAUCUCCUGACUUUUAGGAUCAGGGCACAAGCUCCUGUCAUCCCUUUGCGGUCCCUCCAGUGGUUGCUGUCUCUGGGAUUGAGGUUGGAUGAUGGAAUAAAUCCUUCCAAGUCAUCA